rnacentral:rRNA from 1 species
GUGGGGAAUCUUGCGCAAUGGGCGAAAGCCUGACGCAGCCAUGCCGCGUGAAUGAUGAAGGUCUUAGGAUUGUAAAAUUCUUUCACCGGGGACGAUAAUGACGGUACCCGGAGAAGAAGCUCCGGCUAACUUCGUGCCAGCAGCCGCGGUAAUACGAAGGGGGCUAGCGUUGCUCGGAAUUACUGGGCGUAAAGGGCGCGUAGGCGGACAGCUUAGUCAGAGGUGAAAGCCCAGGGCUCAACCUUGGAAUUGCCUUUGAUACUGGCUGUCUUGAGUUUGGGAGAGGUGAGUGGAACUCCGAGUGUAGAGGUGAAAUUCGUAGAUAUUCGGAAGAACACCAGUGGCGAAGGCGACUCACAGGCCCAAUACUGACGCUGAGGCGCGAAAGCGUGGGGAGCAAACAGGAUUAGAAACCCGUGUAGUCC